AACCCCCCACGCGACGUCACCUCGCCGAAUCCCCCAGGGCCGGAAGGCAGCAAGGGCACGUGAGCUCUGAUGGGUGCGUGGGGGGCCUCU
rnacentral:SRP_RNA from 1 species